rnacentral:rRNA from 1 species
UACGUAGGUGGCAAGCGUUGUCCGGAAUUAUUGGGCGUAAAGCGCGCGCAGGCGGUCUCUUAAGUCUGAUGUGAAAGCCCCCGGCUUAACUGGGGAGGGUCAUUCGAUACUGUUCGACUCGAAGGCAGGAGAGGGAAGUGGAAUUCCCGGUGUAGUGGUGAAAUGCGUAGAUAUCGGGAGGAACACCAGUGGCGAAGGCGACUUUCUGGCCUGUUCUUGACGCUGAGGCGCGAAAGCUAGGGGAGCAAACGGG